CGCCAUCCCUGCCCGCCUUCGGCAGCGCAGCCGCGCCGGAGCGUUGCCCUUUUAAGCUGUGGCCCCAUCGCCUCCUCCCCGGCUCCCGGAGGGGCUCCGGAUCCUCCGCGACCUCCCUCCUCCUCCUCCUCCUCCUCUUCUCCUCCUCCUCCUCCUCCCCCCGCGGCAGCUGCGGGCCGGGGCUGGGGCGCGGGAGCCGGGAGCCCCGGGGUGAGCCGGGCUGGCCCUGCCCGCGCUGCUCGGGGACCAUGGGAUGCUGCACCGGGCGCUGCACCCUCAUCUUCCUCUGCGCUUUGCAGCUGCUUGCUGCAUUAGAGAGGCAAGUGUUCGAUUUCCUGGGAUACCAGUGGGCCCCUAUCCUAGCCAACUUCCUCCACAUCAUCAUCGUUAUCCUUGGCCUGUUUGGCACUAUUCAAUACAGACCUCGCUACAUCGUGGUGUAUGCCAUCUGGACUGCGGUUUGGGUCACCUGGAACAUCUUCAUCAUCUGUUUUUACUUAGAAGUGGGAGGGCUCUCAAAGGACAGUGAACUAUUGACAUUCAACAUUUCCCGGCACCAAUCAUGGUGGAGUGAAAAUGGUCCUGGCUGUGUAAAGAAGGAGGCUUCAAUGUCUGGCAUCAAAGGGCUGGAUGGCCAUUCCUACAUCUCUGUGAUAGGCUGUGCCUUGGAGUACCGCUACAUCGAGGUGAUGCACAGCUCCUUCCAGAUCCUGAUCGCGCUGGUGGGCUUUGUCUACGCCUGUUACGUUGUUAGUGUUUUCACAGAAGAAGAAGACAGCUUUGAUUUCAUUGGUGGAUUUGAUCCAUUUCCUCUCUACCAUGUCAAUGAAAAACCCACCAACCUUUUGUUCAAGCAGACAUACCUGUAGACAUUUGCCCAAACAAACAAUUUGCUGAAUACCAACAUGAGUUUGCAAACUCUUUUGACCAACCUGAAGCUGCAUCUUUAAGAGGCCUGCAUAAGUAAAGAGGAUCCAGAGGAUGGAUAAACCUUGCACUCCAAAGGUGCUGCAGGAAACAAUGCCCUGUGGCCUGGAUCUUUGGCAGAGGAAAUGCAGGAUGGUGAACUCCAUUCCAUUUGUUUUCCUUGUCUUCUUUCCAACUGCAAUGAAUGUACAUUGAAGAAUGGCCAUGAGGUUGGGGCUUAAUUCUCCAAGUGCCCUGAUGAACCAUUCCUACCAUAGUCUGGUGGUACCAGCUGACAAACAGCACAGGCCUGAAGACCUCUAGCAGAACAUGUUCACCAAGAGCCUCUCUCAAGAGAUACAGGUGGAGUUGGAGCUGCUUCCUUGUGCCAUGGAUCCAUAAAGGAGGAAGCACUGCAUAAUACCCUGGGACAUUUCAUAUGUUCUGUAGUUAGUUUCUUCCCCUUGUUCUGAAAAGAGCCUAAAACCCCUAACACAACUUCAUGUUCUCCCUGCCUGGCUAGAACUAGGUGGGGGCUAUUUACAUUUGAGUUCUUUAGGCUUUUUGGGGUUUAAGUUAUAGAUGAGAACUCUUCCCUUCUCCCCUGCCCCACCCAGGACUCCCUUCCUCAUUCUCUAUUCUUUAGACAUGGUCAGCACCUUAGCAGUAGGUAUUUGUCCUGGAUUCCAGUGUUCAGUGACUUAACUCCUAUAAUGCUGAACAGCUAAAAACUAGCACAACCACCAAAUCUUUACUCAGCAUGGAGCUUCGCCCCAUUUCAACAUGCCAAGCCAUUCUCAGAGCAACUGUAACGUACUCUGGGUCUGCCCAUCUACAUAAAAUUAACACUGGCAUAGCCAUAUACACAGCUGAAGCCUGCUGCAGGACACUGGAAGAGGCCUAGUUCUUCAUGGAUCAUAGAUUUUUGUACCUGCCUUCUUCACCAAGCAGCCGCUCUUAUUCCAGGCACAAGACUGGCACCAUCCUGAUGGGUUUUCUUGUGACAGGAUAAUUUUGAGGGGAGGGAAUGGGCUGAGGGAAAGGGGGAAUAUAAGUGUAAUUAAGUUGCAUUAAUGAGCUGCAGCAAUUAAUAAAACAAUAAACAAUG